CACAGAUGUCACGGUGCAAAAAACAGUGCGUAACAAUCAGAUCUGGGUUACUUUCCUUCACUCUACUCACGAAGCCUUUGGUGCGCCCGACCAUGGCUGCAGCUCCAUCAGCGCACACACCUGUGCAGUUUUCCCACGCGAACAAAAUAGUCUAUUGGCUUGUUUUGAAGCGGCGGGUGUGUCGUUUGGAGAUGGCGCUUAAGCUUGCUUGGCACCAUGGCGCUGUUGGAUAGCUUCUCGCCACACACCAGGCAUAACGGAAUAGGUGUCGUCUCAUCCCCGGUGAAAGGCCUUCAUCCGGGUCAGAAUCUUCUCCAGGGCCCAGUUCGGAGUUUGCAGUUGUCCUUUUUAAAAACUUCUCAAUGACUGUCACCACGGCCUCUCAGGUGCAUCACUAAUUCUCUUGGAGGA